rnacentral:rRNA from 1 species
ACACUCCUACGGGAGGCAGCAGUGGGGAAUAUUGCACAAUGGGCGCAAGCCUGAUGCAGCCAUGCCGCGUGUAUGAAGAAGGCCUUCGGGUUGUAAAGUACUUUCAGCGGGGAGGAAGGCGAUAAGGUUAAUAACCUUGUCGAUUGACGUUACCCGCAGAAGAAGCACCGGCUAACUCCGUGCCAGCAGCCGCGGUAAUACGGAGGGUGCAAGCGUUAAUCGGAAUUACUGGGCGUAAAGCGCACGCAGGCGGUCUGUCAAGUCGGAUGUGAAAUCCCCGGGCUCAACCUGGGAACUGCAUUCGAAACUGGCAGGCUAGAGUCUUGUAGAGGGGGGCAGAAUUCCAGGUGUAGCGGUGAAAUGCGUAGAGAUCUGGAGGAAUACCGGUGGCGAAGGCGGCCCCCUGGACAAAGACUGACGCUCAGGUGCGAAAGCGUGGGGAGCAAACAGGAUUAGAUACCCCUGUAGUCCCAUGAU